CCUUUCCGCCAUCUUGAGUGAGGGACGCGGCAUGUCAGGAGCGGGCGGCCAUCUUGGGCGUUGGGGUUUGCCCGCUCCUGCGUGCUUUCGAGGCUCAUUUUUGGAUCUGUGAGGGAAAGGGCUGCUGGGACGGGAGAUGAAAGCCUCGAAGAAGGCUUCGGCCAGCAGCUGAAUAACAGAAACAAAACCAAGCCAGGCUUUCUGGGUGAAGAACCCGUACUGCAGGCUCACCUGCCCGCUGAGGAGAGGCACAGUGGCCCUCCCACAUGCCCGCAGCCUCCAGGUAAGCCCUGCCCUAUGCCCCAGAGCUUGCCUGCUUGCCUGCAGGAAUGCAGCCAUCAUGUUAGUCAGAGAGGGGUUUUGUUGGUCUGGAGCCAGGCUGCUUCAUGAGGUGAUUUCUCUUGCUAGGAGAAGACAACAGGGAGGUGAGGAAAUACACAGCUGUAAGAUGUUUUCCAACCCUCAAAAAGAAAAUGUCAAAUCUCAGGGCAGUGCAUUUGUGCAAGUUGUGUGAAAAUGCUUCCCCCCUCCCAUGAGAAAAUGAGCCAGAUUUGUUGAAAUCUUCCAGAAGAUCUGGUUGUUGCAGGGCCCCAGUUCUGCAAACAGGUCCAAGCUGGAAGCCAGGACUUUGUUUGCCUGUGUCUGGGGCUUUACCAUCUCUCUGCAUUGCCAGGCUGGAUGACAAGAAAAUUAACAGCUUUGUCCUCUUUGGGGACUUUGUUUUUCUAACGAUUUGUAUAUAUCUUCUCUAGGAAGAGCCAGUUGAAAAAACGCAUGAAUGUAAUAAACUUUUGCUCAACUACUUUCAAAACACUGAAAAAAAAAUCCAAUCAACUUAAAACCAAUCUGUUUUCCUGUCUGCAAAAUGAAGCGUUUCACGGUUCUUGCUCAAAACACGUCCCAAAGACUUGAGUCUGCCAUUGUAAUCUAUUAGUGCCAGAACCAUUGAACAGAGAACCCACCUGAAACUAAAAAAUAGUGCCUAAGAGAAUGGUUUUUGUGGCUGUUUUUGAUAUGGCCCAUGGGCUUGAAAAAGGGUUGCCUGAUGCUGUCUGGGCACCAACAGGGCUGGAGGCCCCAUCUAUGCAUCUCACUGUGUUACAGAGGACACAGCCUUAGAUGGGCUUCAGAAGAGGCCAAGUUAAUGUGUCUUUGUCAAGUAGCUCUGUGCCCUAAGAACUUCUGUUUUUACUCAGAAAUCUCAAUUAGGGUGCAGUUAAAUUGCUCAUGUUGCCAAUGGCUCCUCAUGUUGCUGUUCCUCAGCAUCACUAAAUGUCUUAUCUCACAGCGUAGCCUUCUCCAACAGCUAGAUCCAGCCCCUCCACGUGUCCACAUGUAUGUAAUCUGGUUGUUUACUUCUGGUGAUUAGAUUUAUAGUGGUCGUGUGCCUAAUUUAUGGGCAUAAGGUUUUGUGGGGUAAACCUGGACUUUGGAGUAGUAUGGCCAGGGGCUUACAACUCCUGCAGCCAUUGUUCCUGCAGGACAAGACUGCUUCUUGUCUGUAACCCAAUGUGGUCAGCUGGAAAGGCACUCCACAAGCUGUCCUUUAUCAUAUGAAUUGAUUUGAAACAGCUGAUGGAUGUGACAGGUUCACUCUGUGGGCUGCCAACUACUUAAAACACACAGGUCUUGUUUCCAAUACAAAUCACAGAUAAAUUCCUCGUGGAAAGUAUUAUGUUAGCUGAAGUGGAAGUUUUAAUCUUUAGCUUGCAAGAAUGUUGGAUGAUGAUUGUAAUUCCUUGUAGUAAAACAAAUUCUUCAAUUUACGAUCUCACUAUGAGGCCAGCAUCACUGGGACUUAUCAUGCUGUUUACCUUUCUUUUCUGUGCUUCUAUUACACCAAUUUGAACCUGGAUCCUGUAAUUAUCAGGCUACUGGCCAAAUAUUAGAAAACAUUCACACAGUUAUGUGGCAACAAGACUACUGUCGGAAAGAAAGAAUAAAAAUAUUUGGAAUAAAAAUAACCGGUGGAAAUUCAACUGACUUAGGCUUGUAUAGGCCAAGAGGCAGAUCUUGUCUGAUGGAUUUCCCACUGAGGAGUGUGCGCUUCCACCGUGAAUUUGGUUUUCAUCACUGAUUAUUUUGUUUGUAUUCGGAGAAUGUUUCUAUUGUCAAGAUACAGCUCUAGGAGCAGAAAGAAUGAGCAGCAAUAUGAGUGAUCCAUGCUAAAAUGUCAGGAUAAUAUUCCUAUAUCUUAGCACAGGGGAAUGGUGUUUGCUUUUACUUUAUCUGAAACCUGGUCUGCUCAACAGUUCUCACCCAGAGGAGUUGGGAGGGAAGAUGAAGUGCCAGACUCCUGUCCAAUUUAGUCUUGCUUUCACAAGACUUGAGUGAAUUGCUGCAAAAAGUUGGCAGCGCUGUUGUGCGGGGUCAUGCUGCAUGUCAAUCCUUGUGGGUCCCCUUUGGAGGAAUUCUCUAAACAUUGCUUUUGCAUGCUGAGGGCCUUCAGGGAGAAGAGCAGGCUGGAUUUCCUGCUGCCAGUAGUGUAUUUCUGAGGUCAGAGAAGAGGAACUUGGCUCUCCAUGUGUCCUGGGUGCUCUAAUGCACUUUGAGCAUUGCUCAUGAGUUUCUCCAUGGCUUCUUAGGGCAGAAUCUCAAGCCCUGUCUCCCUCAUCUCUUAAGAAGUACCUAAUUUCUGGAGGGAAAGAGAGAGGGCAAGUGGCUUACUUGCUCUCUCUAAAUCAGGAACCCAUUUCUGAGCGUUUCAACAGGAGAGAUGAAACCAGCUGAGAGUUGGGAGGGGCGUGUCUGAAUCCUCUCAGGCUGAGGAAGAUGCUGAACCUGAGUGCCCUGUGCAUGGGAUGGCUGAUCUCAACACAGGGCUGCUGCAGUACAGCAGGACACAACAACUCAUUUUGUCCUCUCAGCCAGAAUACUGCAAAGUCCAGAAGAAAGCUGCAGCCUGGGAAGCCAGAUUUUAUCUAUUUCCUUUGCCUGGGAGUGAACGCCUUGAGCUUUGAUCGUGGUGAAUAAGACCAGGAAAAAAGGAAAUGUUGGGAACCAGAUCUGACCCAAGUUUUUCGGCCAGCCAGGUCGCUCCGCUGUGAAUGCCAGUCCUGCUUUUGGGCAACAAGGUCUUCGAUAAGAAAAGUGAGGAAUGGAAAUGCAGUGCUCCAAAUCCCAUGCUAAUUGCUGACCUGUUCCUUCCUCUCUGAAGCCCACAGGAAAGCUCCUGUACCCAAGAGUAAGUGCACAGGGGGAAACGGGCUCCUGACACAGGGAAAGCUGCUGGAGUGGUCAUGCAAAGUGAUUCCUCAAAUCCUCAAAUCCAGGCUUGUGUGUAGCCUCCCAGAAAACAUCUGUUCUCACAACUCUUCCAAAGAAGACCUGUUCUGAAAGCUGUGCUUGCAGAUGGCUUACGCUGGGGCACAUUUUGAGAAGCCCCAAACCCUGCCCUGGCAAUGCAAGACAAAACCUCACUGCACCUCUCCUCUGGGCAGCAAUCCUUUCCUUGUGGCUCCGCCAGAGGAUGCUACAGACUUCGGGAAGAGCCAUGCAGCUCAGCCUGUCAUUCGCAGCAUUCUGAAAUGCACAACCAGUCUCUCACUAAUACAAUCCCAGCCUCCUGGGGAGCAAGAUGAAAGGACAGCAAUGCCCAGGCCAUCCGAAGUUAACCCUGCGACUUGCUGGGGCUCAACACCAGCCCCUUUGCAAGCAGGGAGUGCAGAUGGAGCAGGUCCUUGAAGGGUGUCCUUAAGGGACGAGCUGUCAGCAGGAUCAGUGCUGGGCUGCCCUUUUGCCAGAGAGAAAGGAAAAAGAGGAGUUAAGUGGUUAAGGAGCCAGGAGUCAGAUUAUACUGGAAAGGGCAAAAAAAGUCUGAUUUGAGCAGUUUCCCUGGGGGACAAGUUCAUCCCAUGCUGUUCAGAUGACUGUGACAUUGAGAGGAGUCCAAGCACGUGUCUGCCGGAGUCUUUGAGGAGGAGAGGUCUAAAAAAUACAUUUUUCCCAAGUUUGGAGCUGAUGAAGCUGAAGCUCUCCUGAACAGGAGCCAAGCCACCACUCAGCAAACCUUAGUGUUGUCCUCAAAAUGGAGACAGAGCUUUCAGCAUAGUCUACAAACGCAGAUUCCAGACAAAGUCCUAAUGAGAAACAAACAGCAGACUUUUGGUCUCUGUGUCAGUGGUACAUACUGGUUAACCUCGAAUGCAGUUCUCCGUAAUACAUUCUGACAUAUGAUUUUGCUGCAAAUCAAAGAUGCCGUAUAUACUCCCUCUUACACUGGUUUUGCUUUAAAUCACAAGAAGCUGGAGCUAGGUAUGUUCUGGAAAAAGAUUCCAAGGUCUCAGUGUCAUUUGAUAAGCAUAUGGAUUGACAAAAAUUCUUUAUCUGAUUUUUCUUUUUUUCUUGAAAAUGAGGUAUUGCAAUACUAAAGGGAAACAAAAUGCACUGCUCAGCGAGGCAGGGUCUUGCUGGGGACAAGCUGUGCGCUGAAGUGAUUCAAGAGGAAAAAGUGGCUUCUUUACCUCUGGCUGAUUGUUAAUGCCCUUCCAGCAGAGAGGCUGCAGAUAGCCACAAGGAACCGCACUCAGGGUGAUACAGCAUGGUCAGUGAUAAACAGGACAGCAGGUGAGAUGGACUAACAGCUCCUCCUGGCUUUGGAAAUCGGUGAAUCUGUGAAUUAUGGGAAGCAGUGCUUUUUCCAUCUACUUUUACUUUGCAGCUCACCCCUGCGUUCAGGCCCCUGCGACACGAUAUAUUCCCAUGGCUCUAGAGGGGCUGCUUUUGGGUUAAUUCACUGCAAUCCUGACACCACGCUCUUGACAAGUGGUGUGCUAGGAGGAUGGGAAACAAGAUGUAAGAGGUGCCUCAGCAAAUGGUUUGCUAUGUUACCAAAUAAAUCCCCCACGCAGCUCAUGCCUUAUGUGCUCUUGUUUAUUACACAUAUUUAAGCUCUUGGCACAUUGUAACCUUCUGCUUCGCCCCGUAACUUUGAGAGAAGCAAAAUAUUUUAACCCGUAAUAAACUACAGGCAUCUCCCCCAGCAAUUGCUUUUGCGAGCCUAUGAUUUCCUAUCCUGCUCUAGGAAGCACUGAAGGUCUGAUGCAGCUCUGGAGACCUCAGCCAAGUUUUCCUUCUGUAUGCGAACCUUUUUUUUUAACUCCAUAACUCUUCCUGUUUCCAGUGAAGCCUAUAUUUAAAUAGUUUGCUGAGUCUGGGGCUCGGUGAAAGAGGUCUGUCAAGAGACUACAAAACAGGUGGAUGAUGUUUAGUCUCUGGCCAGCAGACACUGCUGAUAGCUACAGGAUGCUGGUGUUAUCCCCUAUUGAAAACAAACUGCCUCCUGUUUAGUUACAGGCACUUAAAUAUUAAUAAAAAACGUAAUCAGCAAAGGGGGAAAAUACAGUUUAUUUUUUUCCUUUCCUCUCCUGCAUAGGGCCAAAAGGAUUUUAGAGUAAAUUAAUAUUAGCACCUUGCUCCAAGCCAAAAGAAAUAAAGCAGAAAAUCAAAGUUAUUCUUAACGCCAAGAAAAUUGCAAUUUCAUGCCAGAUUUACAGUCAUGCUGCUCAUGCUGCUAGUGUUAUCCUUUAUUUUGACCAAGACAUCAUUAACAUAGCUGCUGACUUGACAAAGGUGAUGCCAGACAAACUUCACCUGAUCCUAACAGUCGACUGAUGAGAUUUUUCAAGAAAGCAACACAAAAAGCCAAACAAUAGGGCCCCAUGAGAGGCUCCUGCAGAGUCAGAGCUGGUGGGACAGAGGGAAAUCUGCUUGGUCUCCAAAUGGGAUGGGCAAGGGCUCUUUUGUGGUGACAGCUGAAUUUUUAAUUGGUCCCUUAGUGUUGCCUUGCUUGACUCCAAACUCACCUGGUGCCUGCAGAUUGACUCUGGCAUCGCAGUUCCUGCUCUGCACCAAUGUGGAUCCCCAGAAGCUGUGCUACUGACCUUAAUUCAGGUGGGAAGGCAGGCCCAGAAGAGCGGUCUCAGCCUGGGAAUGGUCUAUCAAUCCAAAUUCUUUGGCAGUAGCAGAGAAUUUAGGUUUGCAUCUGGUUUCUCUGGAGGGCCAGAACUGAUGUCUGAACCCAAGGAUCUUCAAGGAGCUGAACUUUUUGCCUUGGGUGUUCCCAUACCUCCAGCAGUGAUUGGGCGUGGUGGUUUUGCACGAUGAGUAAACACCAAAUGCAGCUGCCUGGAGAAAUAAACACCUGGCAAAAUAUUUUUGGAGGAUUAGUCACUGUCUGUGUUUUUGGGAAGGUUGCAUCCCCAGCUGCACAGCGCGUGUCAUGGGGAGCCUUCCUGAACCCGUUCCUUUGGAUGCAUUCCUGAUUUUAUUGUCGAGUGGCUUCACACACAGUGUGCCCGUGGUUUUUCAGCAUGGAUGCUGCCUUUCUUGUAUUGCUAGGUGUCAAAAUGUCAAAUGACAAAAUGUCCCAAGAAACACCCUGGUUAGAGCCAAUGGUCAAAGCACGUUGGCAUGAAUUUACAUGUGGGUGCGACGCAGGAGGACAAUCCCUGCUUAUAGCUGCUGGGAUCCCGCAGCAUAAGAUAACACAUCUGACUUCUUGCAGAGGGCUUGUUCCUUUGGCCAGAAAUCUGGGUUAACGUCAGCACAAGGAGCCACAUGCAGAGCUCUGGGAUUUCAUCCAAGAAACCUGAUCCACGUGAUUUGAAAUACAGAUAAACAAGCAAAAACACUGCAGAAGGGGAAGGGCGAGAGAACAUUGGGAAGGCACGAUGAUGGGAGAAAGCUGCUUGGACAGGGCAGGCUGUACACUGCCCAUACACUGGUGGUGACAGUAGGUGACAUGCAGCCCAUGCUCAGAGGAUCAUUUGUACCCCAAUAUCACCUCUACAUUUGCUGCUUUAGGAAAGCUACACCAGGUGGGGCUUCAGCUGCCUAAGCACUGUUACAGUGCAGUCCCCAAAUCCCAAUGUUUGGUGACGUGAGAUGCAGCUGGAUCAGAUAAAUCAGCCAUCAUCUUGCAGUGGCAACUGGAGAUCAGCAGCAUUUUCUGUCAGGCUCAGAGAAGGCUCUUCCCAGUUGUAAAGCUCUGGAUAAAUGGGUUCUCAUCUUGCUUCUCGCUGCAGAGAGGUGGUUUGGAAGCAAAUUACAGCAGCAGCAUGGAGAAGGGCACGGGAACACUUGGCAGCAAAUUGCUGCUUCCUGCAGCAGCAGCUGGUGAAGCACCUCAUGUUUGCCAGCAAUGGGCAGGGAUGGAUCCUGCUUCCCAAAUACGUGGUUCACAUGGAUACCAAACUGCAGUGCCUCCCCAGCCUCUAUUUUUGUUUGCAACAGUUUAUCACAUUAUCUGUCAACACUAACUUCAGAAGGUCUGUAAUUUGCAGCAUCACCUCUGAUCCUACCAGGAACCCUCAUAAUUAUCUACCAGCUAUCAGAAAGAACAAGAGACACAAAAGCUUCUUUGGACUAUUUAAAUAAUACUGACUUUGUGCUUCCCACUAGGUUAUUAGGUAGCAGAUUAAUUGGAGGCGUGUGAUGCAUCUAGUCUAGCUACAGUACCUCCCUAACUUGGCUUUGCUGGGCACAGAACCAGCCCAGUGCAGUUUUUUUCCCUGCCUUUCCCUUUUAUUCCACCUCCCCUAGUUCCCUGGAACUGCAUCCUGCAGGAUGAUGCUGGAGGAACAUGGGACACUUUCAUCUCCACGUGGUCUGCAGCAAGCAUUGCUCUCUGCAAGUGGAAUGUUGAGCUCAUUAAAAACACAAUUAAUCCCUUUUUAUCUAUCAGUGUUUGUUCCCAGCUCAGUCAUUAAACGAAGGACAGAAGUUAUGUCCUGCUAGCAAACUGGUUAUUUUUGGAAUCCUACCAAAGAGUUUCUCUUUCCACCAAGCUGCCCUUGCCCUCUCCCAGUCCCAAAGGCUCCAUAUGCAAGUGGGAAAUACUGAAUUAUUUACCUUAGAGAGUCACAGUGAAGGGCUGCAAAGGAAAAGAACAGGAACUCAUUCUGUUCAUUGGUCUGGUGGUGCCAUGGGACUGGUGCCCAGCAGACCUGGCCUUGCCUUGCUUCCUGGGUACCUUUGGUUCCAUUACCUCCAGACAAAGGAAGAAGACCAGGGCUGUACAAGUUUACCCCAAGGUCAUGGCUGUUUGCCAGUUCUGUGCCAACAGCUGUGUGGCACCAUUUCACAGCCAGUUUUCCUUGCUGACAGCACCAAGUAGGACCUCUUGCUCUACGAAUGCGCAAAUGAUAGACAUGUUUCCAGGCAAAUAGCAAAUAUGUAUAUAUAUCUAUAUAAAUAUGUUUAAGAGUAUGUUUCCUGAACUACCAUUAUAAGGGGGAGAAAAAAGUUUCCCUACUUCUCACACCUUUGGACAAAGCAGUGGUGCUGCUCAGGCCACAAGUGCAUUGUUAAAAGCAUCUGCUUUCACUUAAGGAUCUUGAAGGAUUGCAGAACUCCGGGAACAUGCAAAUUCAAGAGCUAUAGAAGUGCCAGAGUGGAGAAAGUUAAAUGUUCCCUCGAGGGCAUUCAAGUUUACAGAGUUUUAGUUCACUUUAAUUAGAAUCCCAGAGCAUCAUCUGCUGAAGGGCUUCUUCAUUUGUAUUUUAUUAUUCUCCAUAAUAAGUGUGUGUAUUCCUUUCUUGACCCCGCAGAGCUGUGCACCACAAGGUGAACUCAACUCACAUCACACUGGCCCGAUAACAAGAGCCCAGUCACACGAGUGUGCAAGUGAUGCUGCCGUGCACAGGGGACAAAAUGCAUAGGGAAGCAAGUUUGACUUGAAUUUCCCUGUAGAGGACCUUUCAAUGCACCUUCAGUGUCCAUCUGUGUGUGAGUCCCCAGGCUGCCUUAAAUGCACCCUGACCCCACUGCUGGGGAACGCCUGCCUGUUCUGCUGCUGCAAGGAAAGCACAGCUAAAUCCCAGCGCCGCUGGGGCUGAACGCAGCAGUGCUGGCUGAUAUCCAACUGAGGCUUCUGCUUUGGUUUUCUUUUCUUUUUUCUUUUUUUUCUUUUCUCAGGACGUGCAUUGAAACUUAGCGCCAAAAUUGCUUCUUUUCUCUAUUGCUGCUCGUUAGAAAAAGAUCAUGUUGCCAAACUUGAUAACGUGAUGCAGAACCCUAUCCUGACAGCACGCUUUGGCUUUGGCUCAGGAAGUGCAUGCAAGCACCUCAGCCCUUGCCAUCAUCCUUGGGCUCUAUUUUCUUCCCAUGUGCUGUGGUUUUAGAGAAAAAAUGUUUGAGAGCAGUGUGGCAGGCUUCGUAUGCAAUUUUAUUGCUUUCAGAGGGCUGGGACAGGAAGGGCAUGCUGACCACUCGCACUGGCUGUGUGCGCCCAUGUCCAUGCUGGGUUUUCCCAGCCAGGCUCUGUGCUUCCCGUUGUAUCAUUUUCCUUAGCUCAUUUUGGGAAAGAGGGCAAGGAGUUUUGCUGCAAUGUUCCCAAAAGGUUCACCUACGGGGCUGCCAAUAUGAAGGAAAAUCAGUGGCACUGGGAAAUCUCAGGCACCCUCACUGUCACAGAUUUUGAUUUGUGCAAAUGUUGUGUCUGCAGAUGGCAGUAAAGAAUGCCUUUCAUUCCUGGGAACGUGGGCAAUAAUUGUGCUUUGGCCACAGCACCUGCUUGCUUGCACCAAAAUGUCGCUGCGGCAGCACGAGCUGCCAGGACCCACAGGGAGAAGGGAUCUUUGGGAAAGGGGAGCUGUGCUGGAGCACAGCAGGGGCUAUUUGUUCAAGGCUUUGUAACCUUGGGGAAGUUGUUUUGGCUCCUUUCAUUUCUGGGCUGGUGACCCAGGUGGGGACAUGCUGCCCCAUACCACAGCCAGCACCAGCAGAUCCCAACCGUGCCUGAUGUACAUCACUGUAGACGGGUGAUUUCUGGCUCUGCCUUCUCACGAUUUCUCAUUUUGCUUCCUCUGUCUCAGUAAGAAAAUAUCAUCCAGCUCAUGACAUUUCCUUGAAGUUACUUGUGAGCUGUUCCCAGUGCUCGCCAGGGCAGCGCUGCACGCAGCCGGCAGGACCUGAGCCAGCUUCUCCACCCAGUGCCGGGGCUGAUGAACUCCCUGGAGAUGUGUUUGCCAUCACCAUGGCCUUUAAGGAGUCCUGGAACAUGGUCUAAUUUCAUGAUUUUUUCCAUCUGGUUUGCCAGUUUAAAGCCGUUUUCACACAUGGCCAAAAAUAACUUCAUUUUUCUCUCAUGAGCUCUGGAAGCAGAAGCUUGUGGUGGUGAAAGGACACCAGGCAUCCACGGGAGCAGCUGGGACACAGCAGGUGCCUCCUAUCCCCUGAAGACCGUGGAACAGGGGGGCACACAGGGACAACCCUCAGGCAAAGAGGGGAUGAAUGCCUGAAUGCCAGCAUUGGAUUGCUGUCACAGCUCAGACAUCCUAGGGUCAGCUCCAUGCUGCCCUCUCGUCCACCACAUGUCAUUGUCCCUGAGCCCCUUCUCACGGGACAGCUUUUAGCCCUGCUGAAAGCAGCACCAAAGGGAGGAGGAGAGAUGCCGAUGACCUCGCUGCUGAUGUCAGAGCAGAGCUCUGCACUUCGUUGCCAUGGCAAUGGAACAAGGACCACAACACACAUUUUCUGGCACAACAUCAGCCGCUCCCACUGCAUCCCAGGGAAUGUUCUCAUGGGACCACGGGCUUCGCCUGCUGUGGUCUCAUUCUUGGAUUCCUCACCUUACAGGUACCUCCUGGUGAAGCAAAACCAUCUGAUCUCUGCUGCUCCUUCCCCCCUAGGAUGCUGUGCAGGAGUGGAGCUGAUGAUUAGAGGAAACAGCUUCUCUCAGUGAUUUUCAGCAUAUCACAGUAAUUUUCUGGAAAUGACACCAAACCACCCCGGAGGUGUUGAACAGAGGUGAAUCAGCUUUAUCAGGUUGGGCAAAGGGAAACUUGGAUCCUCAGUGCAGAGGGCAGUCUUAAGUGGAAAAAAGGCUGUGAGGCUGUCACUGGGGGGAACUGAUCCCCAGGCAUCCCAUAGCUGCAGCCAAGCCUUUGGGCCCAGGCUCAGCAUGUUGUGAAGCAGCUGAGGACACGCAUUUUUUCCCUAAAUCCUUCUGUGCAUCCCAUCCUUAAUUCUCCACUCCUUUCCUUCCUGCCAAAACAGGGGGAAGGAAUGUUUGGGGAGUGAGGUCAGUGGGAAGGCUGUACUUGCCUCCAUCUGGGCUUGUCUGGGGCUGGGGCAUGCAGGUGGCCAGAAGGACAGAUGGGAGGAUGCGGCUGCGAGCAUCUCCUGUGCACCUGAAUGACUUCUGGUGUUAUUAUUUGAUCCUGUGCGAACUGAAUGAUUUAAGGCUGUGGAAUUUUGCUCCUCCCAGAGAAAGGAACCAAGUGGCCAGCUCAGCGCCCUGGCUGCUGAGGUUCACUGCUCCUCCCCACCUCUCUCCUCCUGCUGCUCCUUUUGGGAUAACAAUGGCAGGAUCCAGAUGCUUAUCUGACGCUCCCACUGCCGCCCUCGGCUGAAGCACAGCGGCUGUGCAGGGGCAGCAAGCCCAGUCCCGUUAGGAUCAGGCUAUAGAGUAAGAAUUCACUGGGAUUAGGUGUUACUGAACAGGAGGCACCGCAGUGAAAUGGCAGAUUUCGCAUGUGAAUGGUACUAAUGCAAUCCCACAGCAGCCACAGCUCCAGUACACAUGGAUUUGUCACCUGUUGAUAAAUCACUAAAAUACAGGCCAAAACUAAGCUGUGCAAAGGACAUAGAAAUAGAAGAAAAGAAGCCUUGCUGCUGAGCUGCAGCUCCUGCUUGAGAUUUCCUUUCCCUGUACCCAUGCCCUGAGGACUGGCAUUUCCAGCGUCCACAUAUUGUGAUUAUGCAUCACAGUCUGUAUUUCCCUGAAGAUAACCAGGAAACAUGUAAUUAUCAACCUCAUCUUGAACUAAGAGCCACAACAGCCCCAAGGGUCCUUAUCAAAUGAACCAAGUGAGUUUUUGGAACCAGAUUUUCUGAACAGCACAGCCCCAAAGUGCUGGAUAGGGACAAACCCAGCUCCAGUGUGGCAGAGUUGGGCUGCAUGGGAUAUGUGCAUGGUUAUGUGAAUAGAUUUAUGGGAGAUAUUGGGAAGAAUCUCUGGAUUUUGAAUUUUCUUUGACAUGGGUCAGCGCUCAGCAGUGAGGUUUUGGAGCAGCAGUGCCAGGUACUUUUCCUACAGCCCUGGGGAGUAGCAUGCCAGGUUCUCUACGCCAGUAUUCUUCCCACUGAACCCCGCUGGCUUUCCAGAGAGGGGAUUGCUGUUGGCUUCUUAUUUUUAUUUAAUGUGAUAUUUUGCUACGUGGGGCCAUAAGGGAGCACACAGUGGAUACAGCAGCAGGGCUGCCCUGAGUACACGAUAGCAGUAGAAAACUGCUGAUGCUUUCCUGUAUUGUGGGGUGCCUCCCUGCAGGAAAUAGCGCUUUGUGGUGCGGAGUGCUUCGCCUUCCUGCGUGGCCCCUCUGCUGAGCACUGGGAAAGUUGGGGUGUACCCAUGGCUGGGGAAAGGGAGCGUAAUGCUGAGGGGCUGCAGGAGCCCCACUUCCCAAAAAGCCCUCCAAGGUCCACCAGACUGCCCCGUUAUAUAAAGAUGUGUUAAAGGAUUCAAUCUGCAGAUGCUGUCGGCUCACAGCAUGAUGAGCAGUGAUUUAACCAUGGCAGCAGAGAUGCAGCUGACUGCUGAUUGCUUCGCCACUCUCUCACUGGUGCCACGGAGGUGAGGCUGAGGAGUUGGGAGGAGGAUGGGGUGUUGAGCACUGGAGCAUGACAGCUCCAGGGAGGGGACGCUUCUGCCUCUGUGACCUUUGUUUGGGACCCUGUCUUCACAUGAGUCACCGCAUGCAAGGAGGGUGUGUUCAGCUUUUCCUGUGCCACCUCCCUCUGGGGACCAUGAUGCUCCCCUUCCAAGCACGUUUCUCAGAGACAAAGCCUGAAGAAAUGGUGCCAGAGCAAUGAAAAUGCCCUGCAAACCCGAGCACUGCCUGCACACAUGGUUCUUAAUGUGCGGCACGCCUUUCCAUCAAGCUAAACAAUGCUGACCAUCAUUUCCAGGACAGACUGCCUUCGGUAACACCUUAAUAAACUUUUCCCUUUGUUUGA